rnacentral:rRNA from 1 species
GACGAACGCUGGCGGCGUGCUUAACACAUGCAAGUCGAACGAUGAAGAAGAGAAACGCGAACUUCGGUUCAAAUUUCACUUCGGAUUAGUGGCAGACGGGUGAGUAACGCGUGAGCAACCUACCUCUUACAAAGGGAUAGCCUCGGGAAACCGUGAUUAAUACCAUAUGACACCUUCAUAAGGCAUCUUAAGAAUGUUAAAGCUACGGCGGUAAGAGAUGGGCUCGCGUCCCAUUAGCUAGUUGGUGAGGUAACGGCCCACCAAGGCGACGAUGGGUAACCGGCCUGAGAGGGUGAACGGUCACAUUGGAACUGAGACACGGUCCAAACUCCUACGGGAGGCAGCAGUGGGGAAUAUUGCACAAUGGAGGGAACUCUGAUGCAGCGACGCCGCGUGAGCGAUGAAGGAAUUCGUUUCGUAAAGCUCUGUUCUAUGGGAAGAAAAGGACUGUACCAUAGGAGAAAGCCCCGGCUAAAUACGUG